GAAAAAACACUACUAAAACAAAUUUUGACAAACUAUCCAGUCAUUGAAAGUAAAACCCACACUACUGCUAGUGAACAAAAGAAAAGGAGUGCUUGGAAUGCAAUUUGCAAUGAAUUCAAUGCAAAUGAAAAUGCAACCACAAGAACAAUACAACAACUUCAGACUCUGUGGAAGAACGUAAAACUGGCUUUAAAAAGACAGAAUGCAGAGAUAAGAAGACAGCGAUUUAUUACUGGUGGUGGAGCACCAAAUAAAGACAAAACUGAUGAAGUGAGAGACUUGUUGUCUGGAAUAAUACAGAACCAGCAACCUCUGGAAGGUAUACCAGAUGAUGAUCACUUCAACAGUUCAGAUGAAGAACUGAGAACAAAUGAACAGAGGGAUCUGAACAGGCUGGCAGAGCCAGAGCACAGUGAGUGUGUGCCCUCCACAUCUGCUCCAGCAUCCCGGAGAAAAGA